rnacentral:lncRNA from 10 species
CUCUCACCUGGGUUUCAUUAUUCACUUCUGCGUUCUCUCUCUCUCUUUUUUCUUAACUUUUUAUUCUUUUCAUAAAUCUUGUUGCCCCAAACUCAGAUUUGUGGAGCCUCUCAGUUUAAAUGACUAAUGGACUAGCUGUAGUUUUUGAGUCCCUAUUCCAAAUUAUUGAAGGAACAAACAAAGUUCUCUGGCUUGCACCCACAGUCCACUCUGGUUUCAGCCAUCUCUAGCCUGGCUCAGCAGGCCUGGAGGGAUGAUGCUGUCGACUCGUAGGCCAUGAGUUCCACUCCUUAAUGGGCAGGUAGGAGCAACUAUGAUGACAAGCUAGGCCCAGAGAAGAGGACAUGAGCCAGGCCAGCACCACAGAGACCCAAGAACUGGAGAAGUUCUUCUUAAGAUUGAACUGAGGUUUUGGAGAAGCACCUGAAGAAAUGAGAAAGGAAAGACGCACACACACAGUUGCCUGGUUGGCCAACUCCGGGUGUCAGAUGGAGACACAGGUGUGGCAGAUUGAUCACCAGCAACCUAUGUAGAAUUGCCAGCUAAGUUUAGAUUCUGAGGAUAAUGCAUGGACGUCUCUGAGGAGGCACUCUUCUGCCCAUCAUGCACUGUGCUGAGGGAAGCCAGAUGACAAGAUAAACAGAUACAUGAAUUGCAUGCAUUUCUGUAUAUAUGUGCAUUUGUAUACAUACAUAACUUCACAUCAAGAAAUGCAUAUUGACAGAAGCAAAGAAAAUGCUGUAAUGGAGAAUAAAAUGGAGAACAAGUCUGUUGGAAGAGGAGACAUCUGUGCUGAGAACUGAAAGAGAAUACAAUCUCUCUUCCAAUUUCUCUUCUCUAAGAAAAUAGCUUUAUGGUUUAUACUCAUAAGAUUGUUUUGAGGAUUGAAUGAUGUGAAUGAUGUAAAUGAUGUAACAAUUUUUACAGAACAUCUAGUAGUAUCACUGAUGAUUCCCCAAUGCUUACAAUAGUUUCUUCACAGCGGUGGCUGCAGAACAGCGGUGGCUGUAGAACAGCGGAUUUUGGUGACCCGCAAAUGCUGCUGCCUGAUCAUUCCUCUGGAAGUUUUGUCUCAGAGGAGUACCCAGCCGUG